UUGGCCUGCAUGAGUUACUAGUGGUAUGUAAUUCUCAACUUUCCUUUUUCUUGGCUGGGAUAAAUUCUGUUGAAAAGAAAGCUUUGCCAUAUUUUGAAAUUGUAUUCAGUUUUAAGAUUUUCUUAUGUUUUCUGAUAUUGCAUGAUUUCAGCAGUUAAUUAUAUAUGAAUAUGGAAGCAUUGAAAAGUGUCCUUAAUUACUGCUAAUGGAUCCAAUAUGAUAGAUUAUUCUUCUGCAACAAGAUUUGCUUUUUCCACUAUUUUAAAUGCAUUUUUUUUCUAAACCUUAAGAUGAUCAGACUGGGGCACUAUUAUUUCAGACUGUAUAUUGUCUAAUGGAAAUGAGUGGUCUAUUAAGUGGGUUAGGAGAAAUGCAAACAAAGUAGCUCAUGUUCUUGCAAAGGCUGCUUGUUGUCAUGCUUCUUUUACUGUUUGGGAAGAGCCACCUUGCUCUCUCUCUUUUGUUAGCUGAUUCAGUUUGAUUGUUGAAGUUAUUUUUACUUCAAAAAGGAAAAAAAGAUGAUUCUUCCUGUUAUGGGUAAUUGUAUUUAUUAUGCCUCUCUCCCUUUCUGCUCAUGUACAUAUAGUUAAUUUAAACAGAUGCCUCGUGUUCUAAAUUUUGGUGGUUUAUAUUGCAGGAUGUUGUGAAUGAUAGGAUCA
rnacentral:misc_RNA from 1 species